GCCCCUUUAAUUCUCCAUAGUGAUUGCUCCAUCACUUUACCAAAAAUUAUAUGAUUGUUGUGAAUGGAAGCUUCUGGUAACGAGGGUAUAUUAGAAUUGAUGGUUUAUGGAGUUCUCAAGUGGCACAACCGAGAAGAGAAGAGAAUGGUUUCGAUUACCCGACCGUUCAAGUUUCUGUCUUCCGGAAUACACUCAUUUCAAAAACUCACCCCCAAAACUGACUCAUUCAAAACGUACUACUCGGAUGGCGUGCCUGGCUACUUGAUCGUUUUUUUAAACUCUGUUCAUAGUUAAUCAUCGUUACUAUUGAUAUGUGUUUAUUUAAAGCUCAAAUGGACAUUGUAUUGCAUAGGUAGAAAUCUCAUUUAACAGUGUUUUGUUCUCUCUCGUGUUUUUGCUCUCAAUGAUUUGUAGACGAUGGCCUUAAGGUUUCUGAUGGUUUUGAAUGCUUCACAAGCUUACAACUA